rnacentral:rRNA from 1 species
CAGUAGCCGCGGGAAUACAGAGGGUGCAAGCGUUAAUCGGAGUUACUGGGCGUAAAGCGCGCGUAGGUGGUUCGCCAAGUUGGAUGUGAAAUCCCCGGGCUCAACCUGGGAACUGCAUCCAAAACUGGCGAGCUAGAGUAUGGUAGAGGGUGGUGGAAUUUCCUGUGUAGCGGUGAAAUGCGUAGAUAUAGGAAGGAACAUCAGUGGCGAAGGCGACCACCUGGACUGAUACUGACACUGAGGUGCGAAAGCGUGGGGAGCAAACAGGAUUAGAUACCCGUGUAGUCCCUGUCUCUAAUAC